GAGGAAUAUUGGACAAUGGGGGCAACCCUGAUCCAGCCAUGCCGCGUGAGUGAAGAAGGCCUUCGGGUUGUAAAGCUCUUUCAAUAGUGAAGAUAAUGACGGUAGCUAUAGAAGAAGCCCCGGCUAAAUUCGUGCCAGCAGCCGCGGUAAUACGAAUGGGGCAAGCGUUGUUCGGAAUCACUGGGCUUAAAGCGUGCGUAGGCGGUUAUGAAAGUCAGAAGUGAAAGCCCAGGGCUCAACCCUGGAACUGCUUUUGAAACUCCAUAACUAGAAUCCGGGAGGGGUCAGUAGAAUUCCUAGCGUAGAGGUGAAAUUCGCAGAUAUUAGGAGGAAUACCAGUGGCGUAGGCGACUGACUGGACCGGCAUUGACGCUGAGGUACGAAAGCGUGGGUAGCAAAC
rnacentral:rRNA from 1 species